rnacentral:rRNA from 1 species
GAUGAACGCUGGCGGCGUGCCUAAUACAUGCAAGUCGAGCGAACAGACGAGGAGCUUGCUCCUCUGACGUUAGCGGCGGACGGGUGAGUAACACGUGGAUAACCUACCUAUAAGACUGGGAUAACUUCGGGAAACCGGAGCUAAUACCGGAUGAUAUUUUGAACCGCAUGGUUCAAUAGUGAAAGACGGUCUUGCUGUCACUUAUAGAUGGAUCCGCGCCGCAUUAGCUAGUUGGUAAGGUAACGGCUUACCAAGGCAACGAUGCAUAGCCGACCUGAGAGGGUGAUCGGCCACACUGGAACUGAGACACGGUCCAGACUCCUACGGGAGGCAGCAGUAGGGAAUCUUCCGCAAUGGGCGAAAGCCUGACGGAGCAACGCCGCGUGAGUGAUGAAGGUCUUCGGAUCGUAAAACUCUGUUAUUAGGGAAGAACAAAUGUGUAAGUAACUAUGCACGUCUUGACGGUACCUAAUCAGAAAGCCACGGCUAACUACGUG